ACAGGCCUCCCCGAGCCUGCGCAACUGGAGCUCGCCCGCAUGGCGGAUGACCUGAAGCGCGUGCAGGCCUUCCUGGGCAUGAGCCCCGCCGGUGUGGUGCCGGUGGCUGCUGCAGCCCCCGAGGUCGCCAAGGCCGUGGCGGUGGCGCCGGCGGAGGGCCGCAACACGGGUGUGGAGCCGUGGGGCGCACCGGGCAGGGAGCCAAGACAACCAGGACAGGAAGUCAAGAACCUGGGUGAGUUGCGGUCGGCGGGUGCCGCCAUAAUAAAAAGGGUUGACACAAUUGGGGCUUGAUGUGCUCAAGGCCCUAUCCUCCAAGGAUCAUGCCGGCACGUCCGGAGAUGGAGUUACCGCAACUACGGAAUUUUGCACAUGGCUCGUGGAGUAAGUUCAUUUUGAUGGCCUGAGAUGUGAAAAGGGGAUGUUUCGCCGCGACCCAGCUUCGUUUCUCAUGCGGUCUCCUGUUGUUGCUGCUAGCUACCCUGAUCUCCCUGGGCAGCCGCUCUGGACUCUUUCAUUCCCUUUUCCCUCUGAUUCCCUCUGAUUCCUUUUGUCUAUCCUUUCCCAUUUCCUUGCUGCCAUGUAAAUGUAAGCAAUGUGUGCCGCCCAUCCGCCUCCUGGCUCGUCUCGGCCUUACAAACUCAACCUUUGCCACAUGAAACCAAGUCACCCUCUCCAUCUCAUUAACCCCACACGUGCAGGUGAGGUGGUUCGUGACGUGGAUCACAACAACCGGCGCAUGGCGCAGCUCGAGGAAGCGCUUCGGGCUGCGGGAAUACCCAUACCGCCGCCGCAACAAGCUACCGCCGUAGCGGUGGCCUCAGGCCAGGAACCGGCCGGCCAGCAGCAACGACAGCGCAAUCCCAUUGCGGUGACGGCGGGCGGUCUGCAGGACGGCGGAGCCACGGGCUUUGCGCCUGGGCGCAAGAUGAUGGCCUUAGAAGGUGGGUGGCAGGGAAAACAAACACUGGAAGUGGGAAAGUGCAGGGAGUUGAGGGCGAAAGGGUGCUUUGUGCACCAGCCCAGAUGGGUUCGCACGGCCCGAGGGAUACGUUGUUUGAAUAGUGAUGCGUUUAAGGGCAGCCAAGGGGCCUAUGGUGAGGCAGGACGCAAGCACACCUUCAGGGCGACACCGGCCCUUCUUCUGCCGCAACUGAAGGCCUUGUGGUAGGUGCGUUUGGAAAACCCGUGUCUGCAUGCAAUCUGGCUCUUCCCUUUUGAAAAGGCCUCCUGGAUUGCCCGGCCCCUUCCCUAGGACUUGAGCUUUGGAACCAUGGCCGUCUGGGUCCGGUAACGGGUUGUCCCUCUUGCACCUCACAGUAUGUGCCCUUUCCUUCAGCAUACGCGCGAGCUAACGCUUCUCUGUGCACCUGCCUGAUGACAGGCCUUCCGGAGCCGACCAAGGCAGAGCUCGCCCGCAUGGCGGAUGACCUGAAGCGCGUGCAGGCCUUCCUGGGCAUGAGCCCCGCCGGUGUGGUGCCGGUGGCUGCUGCAGCCCCCGAGGUCGCCAAGGCCGUGGCGGUGGCGCCGGCGGAGGGCCGCAACACGGGUGUGGAGCCGUGGGGCGCACCGGGCAGGGAGCCAAGACAACCAGGACAGGAAGUCAAGAACCUGGGUGAGUUAACGGUCGGGGGGUCAGCGGUCAGGAAAACACAGAGAGGAGGGGGCGCUGGGGGCGUGAGAGGCUCAAUCCUGACCUGUGCCUAUUCGAUAUGUUUUUGCCGCUCCGCGAGGCGGCAUUGCCGAAUUGGCGUAAGGCUAAUGGCGCAGGUCACUUUUUGCGGUCAGAGCUGUGCGUGGGGGAGGAGGACGCGGUGACUCAAUUCGGCUCUGCUCCUACUAUUGCUGCCUCCCUGGACAGCCAACCCUUUAGCAUCUCUUCAGAUCAUCCCCUUUCUCCCUCUUCCUCACUGUCUGGCAUGUGUGCAGGUGAGGUGGUUCGUGACGUGGAUCACAACAACCGGCGCAUGGCGCAGCUCGAGGAAGCGCUUCGGGCUGCGGGAAUACCCAUACCGCCGCCGCAACAAGCUACCGCCGUAGCGGUGGCCCCAGGCCAGGAACCGGCCGGCCAGCAGCAGCGGCAGCGCAAUCCCAUUGCGGUGACGGCGGGCGGUCUGCAGGACGGCGGAGCCACGGGUUUUGCGGCGCCUGGGCGGAAGAUGAUGGCCUUAGAAGGUGGGUGGCAGGGAAAACAAACACUGGAAGUGGGAAAGUGCAGGGAGUUGAGAAGAGGGUUUUGGUGGGUGCUUAACGAAGGGUGUGGUCUCCACGUCCAUGAGGCUCGCUUCAUCUUGGGGGUCAAGGUGGUCUUGGGCGUUGUGUUCCAAGCGCCAUGGGCCGGAAUAAUCUGCGCGCUUUCAGGCCGCUGCGCCAGAGGCCUGAGGCCAAAGGAAUCUCUGCACUCAAAGCUGCGACCUGAUACUGCACCUGGUCCUGGUUGAUAUGACUUCAUGGUUAUGUAUCCGUUAAUGGCAUCCCCGCGUCCAUUACGUGUUUACCAGAACCUUGUUUUCUUGACGUAGUUCUUGCUGCAUACGGCGCAAAGUAGUAGUUUUACCACUACCGACAAUUUUAGUUUUAGGGUGACCUGAUUGUGGGUUCCCCGGGUUCCUGGACUUCCGUCCUCGCAUCGUCUUGCCCAACAGGCCUUCCGGAGCCGACCCAGGCAGAGCUCGCCCGCAUGGCGGAUGACCUGAAGCGCGUGCAGGCCUUCCUGGGCAUGAGCCCCGCGGGUGUGGUGCCGGUGGCUGCUGCAGCCCCUGAGGUCGCCAAGGCCGUGGCGGUGGCGCCGGCGGAGGGCCGCAGCACCGGUGUGGAGCCGUGGGGCGCACCGGGCAGGGAGCCAAGACAACCAGGACAGGAAGUCAAGAACCUGGGUGAGUUGCGGUUUGCUAUGGACCGGCUAUAGAGCUAAGCAUUGAUGCUUAGGAGAGCCGUACUCAGUCAGGACAAGUGGGGCAUCUGCAGGACGUAGUCUCACUCAAUAAUGCUGUCAGUCAGCCCACCUCGGAAGGCGAAGGAUUCUGAUUAGGUGCCUUGGCCUAAAUAGGUAUGCGUCUGAGGACCCUUCUGUCAAUCGCACGUCCCUAGGCUGCCCUAAUUCGUUGCGCCUGCCAUUCCAUAGCCUGGUCUUGCUCGGCAUGUAUGUUGUCCGUUGGCUUCGGAGACAUGUAAUUACAGGCGACUGGGCGGCUAUAUGCAGGUAAGGGCGAUAGUCGCAGACCUCCCAAAAUGCACGCUUCUGCUGCCGGCGUCACCUCGCGAAGUCACAAAAGGCCCCAUUGGUGUCAACCGCAACACAGAAAUUCUGUUGCGAUUUUGCUAUGGCUGCUGCUGCUGCUGCUGCUGUUUCAGCUGCUGUUUCAGUCAUCGUGAUACGUUUUGCCAUGGCGGGCGUGCAGGUCGUGGCCCAGGGGGGGAGCCGUUAACCUUAACCCUGCUCCCAAGGCGCUCCCUGCCCACCAUACCUCAGGAACUUUCCAGCUGUGCACGCGGUAUCGCACGCAAACCCCUACACCUCCCUGCCAUCCGUCCUUUCUCCCUUCUUCCUCAACCCAUGCAGGUGAGGUGGUUCGUGACGUGGAUCACAACAACCGGCGCAUGGCGCAGCUCGAGGAAGCGCUUCGGGCUGCGGGAAUACCCAUACCGCCGCCGCAACAAGCUACCGCCGUAGCGGUGGCCCCAGGCCAGGAACCGGCCGGCCAGCGGCAACGCAACGCCGUCAGCGUUUGGCCUGGACUGGGCUCUGAAGGCGCCGCGGGCAUGGCGCCGCCGCGCAAGCUGGCCGCCAUGGAAGGUGCGCAGCGUUCAUGUGGCUACGGUUAUGGAGGCACUGUGCUGUGUUGUGCUGUGCUGUGCGCGCGUGUGUGUGGCGUGUAUAUGUGUGUAUGUGUGUUGCGUGGAGUUCUUGUACUUUGGGAUUGACCAGGAAUAGAUUGUGAUGUACCCUGCCGGGGCCGCGCUGUGGCCUGCGGCUGUGAUGUCUUGCCGCUGUUGCGCCGGCACGGCAGUUGCAGGGGUGUGUGCGCAACCGCGUUUCUCUCGCAAUUCCUCUUUCCUGCCCAGAUGCCAGUUUCUCACCGCGAUCCGCUGGUGUGAACCUUUCAGCUUAUUCCUCUACCGUUCCUCUACCGUUUCUCGGGUGCUGGGCUUGCCGUCCUACUCGGUCUUGCUGCGAAAACGCCUCGGGUAGCUAUGCGUUGUGCGUGCUUCCUGGUUCGCCACCAUGCUCGGCGUGCCCUUUAUGCAGGCGCUUUCGAAAAAGUGGCCUCCCCCGUUAUGGCCUUUGCUCGUCGGCAGUUGACCCUUUGCUUCUUGCACUGAUUCCCUUCCCCCUCGAGCAGGUCUUCCUGAACCAGCACAGGCGGAGCUCGCCCGCAUGGCGGAUGACCUGAAGCGCGUGCAGGCCUUCCUGGGCAUGAGUCCCGCCGGUGUGGUGCCGGUGGCUGCUGCAGCCCCCGAGGUCGCCAAGGCCGUGGCGGUGGCGCCGGCGGAGGGCCGCAGCACGGGUGUGGAGCCGUGGGGCGCACCGGGCAGGGAGCCAAGACAACCAGGACAGGAAGUCAAGAACCUGGGUGAGUUGCGGUCGGCGGGAGGUCGUUGGGGAAUACGCAGGAGGUCAUGGUGUUUUGCGAAGUAUGCGUGAGAUCCUGGGUACCUUGUCUGCUCUCGCUCCCACACAGAGUGCUCCCACAGAGUGCUCCCACAGAGCCGCGAAGUGGCCUUUCGAAGUUGGAGAAGUAAAGGGUUCCCGAUUUAAAGUAUGGGCCACCUAAGCUAUGGGAUAUGGGGUUCUGACAGCACAGGGCCACAUCAUGUUGCAUCGAGGCACGGAUGGAGGCAGUGUGAAGGGGAUGCAAAAAGACGGGACAUUUCCUCGAUGCCGUUCCCUACGCCGUACUGCACUGGUAUAUAUCACCCCCCAUGCUGGCCGGCCGUACUUUGAAAACCUGUUUUCACACGUCAUCUCUUCUUUCCGACCGAAAUGCAUGGGAAUGCUUUGACCUUUGACCCCCUCUUGAAUGGAUUUAUACAUGCGAAACGGAAGCCUGGGAAGGCCGUGGCGCCGUUACUUUCCGCCGUUUUGUUCACGCAGCUUUUGUCCUAUCCUCUCCCAGUUCAACAUUUAGAUCCUUCUUCUACCUUACCCAUUUGGAUUCCCGGGGAAUUCAUCACACUCCGUGCCAUUCCCUUUCUCUACUCAUCUCCCUCCGCACCACGCAAAUUCCAUUCCACUUCAUUCUAUUCCAACCUGUUCCUUCACGUUCCA
rnacentral:lncRNA from 1 species